CAAUACAGCGUCGCUGUAGCCUGACAAGCCACACCCACAUCAAGAUGUUGGGUCUGGGAACUCACCAUUGGCACGCUAGUUGAUUAAGUAUCCUUUUGCCGUAUCCAGUCGGCAAAACUCCGAACCCAUCUUCCUUUUUAUAAGAAAGACUUCAGUGCUUAACUCCAAGUCUUC